rnacentral:lncRNA from 1 species
GUUAAUUCACAGAACAACUCCGAUGCGCACAGCGAGCCAUCAAGCUGUAAAAACCCCGAGCUAGCGGAGCCGAGGAAGCAAACUCCACAGAGGACCGGCCGUCACCCGCGCUCGGGCAGCUUCCUACACAGGGCACGGCCAGGGGAGGAAGGGCCAAUUCCCACCCCAACCCCCCGAGACGCGCUUCCUGGGCACGCAACGUGUCAUUCCAACUUUUUUUUUUUUUUUCCCUUUGCCGUUCGGGCGGCGCUGCUCGAGAAAACCCCCGGUUUUACCCCUCCGCAGGAGCUCGGCGGCCGCUUACCAGAAUAUUCCCCGCGGCCACCACCGGCGCAACCCGGGCCCGCAUCGCCGCGCCCCGCACACCGCCCCCACCGGAAAACUUUCCGGCCGUGCCCCGGCUGCGAGGGACCCCUCCGCCUCCCCGAGCCAACUUCUCCUUUGUGCCGCCUUCCCCGCGCCGACACAAAGCGGCGGCUGUCAGGCUCCCGCCGGGCCCCCUUCCCUCGCCACCCCCCCAACCCCCCGGCCGCCACCUGCCCCCUCCCCGGGGAACCCCCCGCCCAGGUGCCCCCCGCCUCUCUCCUCCCUUCCCCCCCGUCGCCCUGCCCCCACCGGCCGCCCCCGACGGCCGCCACAAGUUUGCGGCGGCCCCGUCCCGCCCUCCCGCGGGGCGCGCUCACCUCGGCCCGGCCGGUGGGAGCGGGGCGGAGCGGAGCGGCGCGGGGAGGCUCCCAGCCCGGGCGGGCUCCGCUUCUUUGUCUCCUCGGCGGCGGUACCCGCUCGCUCGCUCGCUCCCCCCCCUCCGCUUCCCUCUUCCCUUCCACAGGCGGAUGCGGGCUGCGUGCUCCGAGAGGGGCCGGCUCCCCCCCUUCCUCUUCCUCCUCCGGACGCGUCCAAGGCCCCGGCCCUCGGCGGCUCCGCUCCCUGCCUCCCUCAGCCGGCGGCGGCCCCGGCCCCUCCUCCGCCCGAUCGACCGCCCGCCCACCCCCCCGCACAGCCCCCGCCCCCGCCCUGCCCUUCCUGCCGCUGCCGCUGCCGGGAUCGCGCGGGAGGAGCUCCCCGGGCUCCCCCUCGCGCUCCGGGAGUGCCGCCGCUUCCUCCGCCCGCCCCCGCCCUUCCUUCCCCCACCUCCCGCCGCAGGAAGGCCCGGCCCGGUCGGGGGCUGGGGGUGCCUCCCAGAUCUCCCGACCGCGAGAUCCCAGGGAAAGUGCUCAAAGAAACGGGGGAUGGGGGACCCGCUUGUGGUGGUGCUGCUGGUACCAGAGCUCUUACCUGCUAUCCACAUACAGAAGCACCACGGAGCUGAGGCUGUGUAGGGAGGACAACAGGACCACGCUGAUGCUCUGGUCCACAUGCAACCUCCAAAAGUGUGCAGCAACAUGACAAGUGGGCAGUAGAGCUCAGAGCUUUGCAG